AUGAGGGCUGUCGGGUCCGAGGAGGAGCGGGCGGCAAGGCAACAGGCACGCUGCGAGCAGCGCAACGCCGCCCGACGCUCCGCAUUCGCUAAGUUGGACGCAGCGCCGCAAUGGGUCCGCAACGACCCAGACCUCCCUGCCACCUGGGCCCUCGACCGCUCCAUCACCACCGCGGAGACUGCAGCCAAGCGCCGCCUUGACGGCGAGCUUGCCAAGAUCGGUGAGGACUGGUUGCUUAGCGAUUCCUUCGCCAACGCUGGCAGGGGCAAGGCCGCCGCCUGUGCUCCGCAGGUGCCGUCGGCAUUGUCUGCGGCGGCCCUCCGACCGCGCAGGAGGAAGUGGAGCGGCUCCUCCGCAAGUGCAAGCUACGGCCGGACAAGGCUGUCGCGGCCCACCGGCGCCCUACCACAGCUGGAGGGAUGA
rnacentral:rRNA from 1 species